UACGUAGGGUGCAAGCGUUGUCCGGAAUUAUUGGGCGUAAAGAGCGUGUAGGCGGCCUGAAAGGUCAGCUGUGAAAACUCGAGGCUCAACCUCGAGACGUCGGCUGAAACCAUCUGGCUAGAGUCCGGAAGAGGAGUGUGGAAUUCCCGGUGUAGCGGUGAAAUGCGCAGAUAUCGGGAAGAACACCCGUGGCGAAGGCGGCACUCUGGGACGGUACUGACGCUGAGACGCGAAAGCGUGGGGAGCGAACAGG
rnacentral:rRNA from 1 species